AUUGAACGCUGGCGGCAGGCCUAACACAUGCAAGUCGAACGAGUGCCGGACGGGUGAGUAAUGUCUGGGCAACUGCCUGAUGGAGGGGGAUAACUACUGGAAACGGUAUCUAAUACCGCAUACCAUCGGAUUUGCCCAGAUGGGAUGAGCUAGUCGGUGGUGUAAAGGCUCACCUAGGCGACGCUCCCUAGCUGGUCUGAGAGGAUGACCAGCCACAAUGUGACUGAGGCACGGUCCAGACGCCUACAGGAGGCAGCAGUGGGGAAUAUUGCACAAUUGGCGCAAGACUGAUGCAACCAUGCCGCGUGUAUGAAGAAGGCCGUCGGGUUGUAAAGUACUUUCAGCGGGGAGGCGUUACCCGCAGAAGAAGCACCGGCUAACUCCGUGCCAGCAGCCGCGGUAAUUC
rnacentral:rRNA from 1 species